AGAAGAGGGGGAUAACGCAUCGAAAGAUGUGCUAAUACCGCAUAUACUCUAAGGAGGAAAGCAGGGGAUCGAAAGACCUUGCGCUUUUGGAGCGGCCGAUGUCUGAUUAGCUAGUUGGUGGGGUAAUGGCCUACCAAGGCGACGAUCAGUAGUUGGUCUGAGAGGACGACCAGCCACACUGGGACUGAGACACGACCCAGACUCCUACGGGAGGCAGCAGUGGGGAAUUUUGGACAAUGGGCGCGAGCCUGAUCCAGCAAUGCCGCGUGAGUGAAGAAGGCCUUCGGGUUGUAUAGCUCUUUCAGUCGAGAAGAAAAGGCUGCAGUGAAUAACUGUAGUUUAUGACGGUAUCGACAGAAGAAGCACCGGCUAACUACGUGCCAGCAGCCGCGGUAAUACGUAGGGUGCGAGCGUUAAUCGGAAUUACUGGGCGUAAAGGGUGCGCAGGCGGUUUUUGUAAGUCAGAUGUGAAAUCCCCCGUGCUUAACCUGGGAAUUGCGUUUGAAACUACAAGACUAGAGUGUGGCAGAGGGAGGUGGAUUUCCAUGUGUAGCAGUGAAAUGCGUAGAGAUAUGAAAGAACAUCGAUGGCGAAGCCAGCCCUCCUGGGUUAACACUGACGCUCAUGCAC
rnacentral:rRNA from 1 species